rnacentral:snRNA from 1 species
GUCACUUUGGUAGCACAUAAACCAAAAUUGGAACAAUACAGAGUAAAUCAGUAUGGCCCCGUCAAAGGAUACCACAUGAAUUCUUGAAGCAUUCCACACUUCA